CUUCAGGGUCAUUCGACUCGCAAGUUGACUCGGCUCCUCCCUCACACCCAUGCUUAGGGGGCCGUGGCCAGCAUGGUGCCAUCCAUAGUCCUGGUACAGAAAUCACGUGUCCGGCAGCGUGACCAACCGCUGAAGCAAGGCAGGAGGAAUGGCUGGAAGCCUAGAUGGGAUUUAAGAAUGGCUCCUAUGAUCGCAGCAUCAGAGGAAUGUCAAGGUCAUGGGGAUACAGAACACACUUUAAGGGAGAAAAGGACCGCUGUGAGGGAUCUCUGGAGCAAGCGCCUAUACUCUCUUGGCAACUUUCCUCGAUGUCCGGUUCCGGUGUGCCCCUUCUACUUUUGAGCAUCGCCGUCUACUCGUCCUUGAAGAAUGCCAGCAAGAAGAAAAUUGCUCUGCCAUUGGCAAUCACAUCUCAUCCCAACCUUACCGUACUUAUCCUAGACUGGGAUCUUCCAGGACCAGAUCUGUGUCUGAUUCACCUCUGUGUUCCCAAAAUUGAGUACCAGGUGGUACAAGGGUGGCUCCCCACCCCUAUUUGAAGAGUGGAUAUAUGUGGGGCCCAUCUCAUUCGCUGGGUUCUAGGCUCUAGGGUGUUUUCAUCCUAACAGGAAACUGAUCUGGCCUAGGGUGUUGUCUGCAAGUCACCCAUUGGCACCAUUGCCUUUUCCGGUCACGGUUUCUUAAUGUAGUACUGGAAGUUCAUGUAUUCUCCCCAAAAGGGUAGGCAAAGUUUUCAAGAGUUUGUGGGUAGUUUUCUGGUGGUGGGGGUCAGCAGCAGACUCCAUCAGAAUUCAGCGGGGUUGUGAGAAGAGACCGGAAAAAGGGUAUAGGGAUAAAAGUAGUUCCCAGAAGUAUUUGGCAGACACCCCCUGCCCUCCGUCCCUGCCCCCGCCCUCGCCCCUGCCCCUGCCCCUGCCCCUGCCCCGGCCCCGGCCGGCCUUUUGCAUCUCCCGGAAGUACACAUUUGCUGUUGUCCUCCGGCGUGGGAAGAUCCCUGAGCUCCAAGGGCGUAUGUCAUUGUUCGGCCCUUUGGAAAGUUCUAAAACUGGGACGUGUCCCUUGCACGCACAUUGUGCCUCCUAUGGUAUGAGCGCCCUUCAAAGGCAUUCGCUGCUUUCACACAGCUCUGGAUCUUUUCGAGGUUCCUUUAGAAGCCCCAUUCACUGGGGCUUCCUGACCAGGGCCUGGUGCGCACUAGGCAAGCUCUCCACUCUUCAGCCCCAGCACCAUUUCUCCCUGAGGUCUCUUCCCAAGCUUGCUUGCUUUUCCUUCAGGCCUCUGCUAUCCAGUCUCCAGGCCAACUACCUGCUAGACCACAGCCUGAGCAGCGAGCAUCCCCAACACCUGCUUCAGCACACUGCUGGGCUGAUCCUGAUUUUCAAGACACGUUUGUGGUCCUUUAACUGUUAGGGCGACUGACAGAUUGUGGUCUCCCAGAAGAUGGGCACCACGCUUGCUCGCUCCUUCUCUCCGUUCUUUAUCUGUGGCCUAGCACAGGGUAUGCAUGCCAUAGGUGCUAAAUAAAUGAGCAGGAACAAGAAAACAGUCUUGUUUUCACAGACUGGAGCGGCCAUAGCUGAACCGGUUUCUUGGAUGCUUUUUUUCUAGUGGGCGUGCAGCAUGCACCGGGAUGUCUUGUUUGCAUAAGUGGUAUUAGGUGGCCAUUCUGGGGCUCAAAGGGAGAGCUUUGUUCCUCACUUCUCUGCAGACCCAGGGAAGGAGCUCAGCUACGGAGACUCUGAACCCAGGCAGUCUGGAUUCAAAUCUCAAAGUAACUCUAUUGCCCUGAGCAUGUUGAUCUCUUUGUGCCCCUCUAACACAGGGAUGAUAACAGUCCCUACUUCCUAGGCCACUUAGGGAACUGAAGGAAAAAUCGUGUAUUUGUAACCUAGAGAAGGACAUAGUCAGUGCAUGGCUGUCAUCAGUGGCCACACAAUUCAAAUAUCUUCUGCCUUUUGCCUUUCAAUAAUAUGUCCAAAGCUUAGAGGCCUUCACUUCAGUUCCUUGACUCUUACUUACUAGCCCAAGUAACGGGCUCAUACGAGGUCAUUUCCAACCUGUGGGCCCUGCGUUGUUAGCUGGAAGGACCUGUCUGAGCCCCGUCUCUGGUGCACGUGGGGCAAAUCUUAGUUUCAGCAAAACGGCCAUAGUUACAUGCCAGUCUUGGGUCUUGGAGUUUUCUUAUUCCUGGAGCAAGCCUCAAAAACCUCCUCAAGCCAGAAGCCUGAUGGGAGAAUUCAUUAAUGCCCUCAUCCGACCCUUGAGAAUGAAAAAGGGUCAGGGAAAGAAGCCAGAUUUGCUGAGCGUCGACCAUAACCCUUGGCAUCCUACACAUGUUGCCUCUAGUGAGCCUUCACAUCAGCCUGAGGGACCCAGGAGCCUGCAGAGGAAGCCUACGACUUAGAAAUCGUAGGCCACCGUGUGGACUUCUGCUCACGUCUUCACUUUUGUUAGAGGAGGCUCUGGAAUGAUGUUUGUGGUAAUGGAAAAGUUCUGUAUCUUGAUUGUGGUGAUGAUUAUAUGUGAUAAGCUCUCAUAGGAGCGUGUGCCCCUGAGCACACAGACUGCGUGCUGAGGAGAAGCCUCUGGACUCUGAAGGCUUCUGAGUUCAUGAAAUUGUACUGCAGCCAACUUGGCUGGCUUCAAGGACUGUGGUCACAUUGGAUGUCGCUAAGGGGAAGCUGGGGAAGGGUCCAUUGAACCCUCUUAUCUCUACUAUUCCUUGUGAGCCUUAAACUGGAAUAAAAUAUUUGAAAAAUGCAA